UAUGGCAGAAUAGUGCAAUGGAUUUAAACCCCAUAUAUAAAACUAAAAACUUUUAUUAAAA
rnacentral:tRNA from 2 species